UGGAUCCAUAGUGACCAACAGUGGCGAAUGAGUCAGGGGUGAUGAAUGCAUGUGUAUCCCAAACUCUGAGGUCCAG
ensembl:snoRNA